rnacentral:rRNA from 1 species
UAGCGGCGAAUGGGUGAGUAACACGUGCUUAAUCUACCCUUUAGAUUGGAAUACCCAAUGGAAACAUUGGCUAAUGCCGGAUACGCAUGGAAUCGCAUGAUUCCGUUGUGAAAGGAGCCUUUAAAGCUCCGCUAGAGGAUGAGGGUGCGGAACAUUAGUUAGUUGGUAGGGUAAUGGCCUACCAAGACUAUGAUGUUUAGCCGGGUCGAGAGACUGAACGGCCACAUUGGGACUGAGAUACGGCCCAAACUCCUACGGGAGGCAGCAGUAGGGAAUAUUCCACAAUGAGCGAAAGCUUGAUGGAGCGACACAGCGUGCACGAUGAAGGUCUUCGGAUUGUAAAGUGCUGUUAUAGGGAAAGAACACCUGGUUGAGGAAAUGCUUCCAGGCUGACGGUACCCUGUCAGAAAGCGAUGGCUAACUAUGUGCCAGCAGCCGCGGUAAUACAUAGGUCGCAAGCGUUAUCCGGAAUUAUUGGGCGUAAAGCGUUCGUAGGCUGUUUAUUAAGUCUGGAGUCAAAUCCCAGGGCUCAACCCUGGCUCGCUUUGGAUACUGGUAAACUAGAGUUAGAUAGAGGUAAGCGGAAUUCCAUGUGAAGCGGUGAAAUGCGUAGAUAUAUGGAAGAACACCAAAGGCGAAGGCAGCUUACUGGGUCUAUACUGACGCUGAGGGACGAAAGCGUGGGGAGCAAACAGGAUUAGAUACCCUGGUAGUCCACGCCGUAAACGAUGAUCAUUAGUCGGUGGAGAGUUCACUGACGCAGCUAACGCAUUAAAUGAUCCGCCUGAGUAGUAUGCUCGCAAGAGUGAAACUUAAAGGAAUUGACGGGGACCCGCACAAGCGGUGGAGCAUGUGGUUUAAUUUGAAGAUACGCGGAGAACCUUACCCACUCUUGACAUCCUUCGCAAUGCUAUAGAGAUAUAGCGGAGGUUAACGGAGUGACAGAUGGUGCAUGGUUGUCGUCAGCUCGUGUCGUGAGAUGUUUGGUCAAGUCCUGCAACGAGCGCAACCCCUAUCUUUAGUUACUAACGAGUCAUGUCGAGGACUCUAGAGAUACUGCCUGGGUAACUGGGAGGAAGGUGGGGAUGACGUCAAAUCAUCAUGCCUCUUACGAGUGGGGCAACACACGUGCUACAAUGGUCGGUACAAAGAGAAGCAAUAUGGCGACAUGGAGCAAAUCUCAAAAAGCCGAUCUCAGUUCGGAUUGGAGUCUGCAAUUCGACUCCAUGAAGUCGGAAUCGCUAGUAAUCGCAGAUCAGCUACGCUGCGGUGAAUACGUUCUCGGGUCUUGUACACACCGCCCGUCACACCAUGGGAGCUGGUAAUACCCAAAGUCGGUUAGCUAACC